rnacentral:rRNA from 1 species
AGUGAACGCUGGCGGUAGGCCUAACACAUGCAAGUCGAACGGCAGCACAGUAAGAGCUUGCUCUUACGGGUGGCGAGUGGCGGACGGGUGAGGAAUACAUCGGAAUCUACUUUUUCGCGGGGGAUAACGUAGGGAAACUUACGCUAAUACCGCAUACGACCUACGGGUGAAAGCAGGGGAUCUUCGGACCUUGCGCGAUUGAAUGAGCCGAUGUCGGAUUAGCUAGUUGGCGGGGUAAAGGCCCACCAAGGCGACGAUCCGUAGCUGGUCUGAGAGGAUGAUCAGCCACACUGGAACUGAGACACGGUCCAGACUCCUACGGGAGGCAGCAGUGGGGAAUAUUGGACAAUGGGCGCAAGCCUGAGCCAGCCAUACCGCGUGGGUGAAGAAGGCCUUCGGGUUGUAAAGCCCUUUUGUUGGGAAAGAAAAGCAGCAGGUUAAUACCCCGCUGUUCUGACGGUACCCAAAGAAUAAGCACCGGCUAACUUCGU